AAUGAACGUUGGCGGCAUGGAUUAGGCAUGCAAGUCGAGCGAGAAGGAAAUCAAAGUUUACUUUGGUUUCCGGAAAGCGGCGCAAGGGAGAGUAACGAGUAGUUAUCUACCCCAAGGCCCGGAAUAGCUGCGGGAAACUGCAGGUAAUGCCGGAUAAUAUCCCCGGAUCAAAGGUGUGAUUCCGCCUUGGGAGGAGACUGCUUUGUACUAGCUUGUUGGUAGGGUAAUGGCCUACCAAGGCUACGAUGCAUAGCGGGCGUGAGAGCGUGGCCCGUCUCACUGGGACUGAAACACUGCCCAGACACCUACGGGUGGCUGCAGUCGAGAAUCUUCGGCAAUGGGCGAAAGCCUGACCGAGCAAUGCCGCGUGCGGGAUGAAGGCCCUCGGGUUGUAAACCGCUGUCGUAGAGGAGAAAGGUCUGAUGAAGAAUCAGAUUUGAUCUAUUCUAGGAGGAAGUCCGGGCUAAGUUCGUGCCAGCCGCCGCGGUAAAAC
rnacentral:rRNA from 1 species